rnacentral:lncRNA from 1 species
AAAAGGCGGACGCACCCUGAUCAUCUGUCCUGUGACGGGCUCAGCCAUUGGAUCGCGAAUCUGCGUUCGCGCAUGCGUGGUCCUAGAGCUACGGUGACACUUCGCGUGCGGUGUAGGCGCAUCUUCGCUCUGUUGGCCGUGGCUUUAGUAAGCACACACCUGCCUGCUACUCUGGUUAUCGUGGCGACGGCAGGUCUGGAUUGCCAGACAGGUUUUUCUUUUUACCUCGAGGCUUUCUCUGAAGGGAGUCGGAGCAUUUAAAAGGCGGCCUCAAGGUGGAUUGAGUCGGGGGAGGAUUAGCAGUAUUUGCUUAGGUUGUAAAACCGCGACUUUAUCUAAUAAAUCGCCAUUCAAGGUGCAAAUACAAACUUGGAACAGAGCUAUUUUUUAAUAUGGAUGGGGAAACUGACAUUGAAGAAGAAAACAAGAAACUAUUGCCACUGCCUGGCAAGGCUGCACUAGUGCUGGGGGAAGAGGCGUCUUGGCAAUUGAUUGAUAGACUUAAUCUGGGCUUGGCACCUACUUGGAAGCAGAGCAGGGUGUGCUCCAGAAAUUCAAGAAGUGGAUGCAUGGCAGGGCAGGAAGAAGAACAUCAUAGGAUACACUAGAAGCACUGCACUUGCCUUCCUUAGUUGGGGCAGAGGUGCAUUCUUCCAGGAUUCCACCUUGGAAGCUUGGGAAUGGUGUAUCAGGUCUGGAUAAUAGUUCUUCCCACAACUAUGCCUUCUUCCUUGGGAAUAACAUAAUCCAAAACUUACCGUAUGUUACAGAUUCCGGGAGAAGUGAGAAAAACCUGAGAGCACUGGAAAGCUGAGUAAAUCAGAAAGUACUGGAGGCAGAAAUGGUAGUGUAGAUAAGAGCACUUUCCUGAUUUGAAUACAGGUUUUUUACAGAAGUUGUUGUGUGUUAUUUAGUCACAUUGUACUAAAUGACAAAGACUAGGUAGUCUAGAGCAUUCCUCCCCUCUAAGAGCACGCUGGAUGUGGUGCAGUCAUAGUCCACCAUUUCCUGUUUCCUUCAUACUUCAGGUCAAAUGAAUGUGCUUCCUUAAGCAUUUAAGAAUAAAAUAAAUAAAAGGAACUCUCAGUGACCUCUUAUAUGAUAUUAGGAGCUAUGCAGAAAAUAUUUUUUAAAAUCCUUAAGUCACAGCAUUUCUGAACUUAAGAGGAAUGAGUUAAGACUAAGUAAAGUUGACCUCUUGUUUGCAGUUAAAGCUCACAUUCAGCCCCUGAAUAAUAUUUGAAUAGUUUCUUGGCUAAGAGUUCACAUCCAAGAGCUGAAUAUGUUAUGCAUUGAACAUGAAAGACCCAAACUUUGAUUAAUCUUUUCUGCUCAAACUUUUCACCACCAUGAAGCACUUUCCAAACACAAGCAUUCUUGGAAAAAGAGUGCGCACACAGUCAAAGAGCCAGAGAGGAGCAACCUCCAAACAUUGAAAACACCACCUUCCCAAGUUUCAGCCUCCUCUCUGGAGUCCAAGAUUUGUAAUGCUAAUCCGACUACCUUCUUCCACUCUAGAAAAAAAGUAAAAAUACGAAAACAAUGUAGUUAUUCACUGUAGUGAUACGAGACAACACAUUUUUCCAGCACUUUCCUUUCUUAGCUUUUUCUUGGUGUAUAAGUUUAUGCAAAAACAAUAUUUACUUGUUAUUUAUUGUGAUGACAAAUGUCUGCCAAUUUAGAGCAGAAUUCCCAGAGUUUUUUAUUCCAGAAGAAUAAUCUCACUUAUCACUUUUUCCAUACCCAAUUUUGCCCAUGAGGCUGAAAUAAACGAUUAGAUCAAUUAAAAACUCAAUCCAACUAGUUUGGAAUGCGGGGAACAAAAACUCCCCUCAGUUGUUGGAAAUGUUCACUUUUAAUACAGUUGCUUCUAUAACCUGGAUUAAUUUAUUUUCUCUGGAAUUUAUACAUCUCACUGAUGCUUCAGUUCAUGAAAAAAAAUCCAUAGGAGACUUCGAUUUUGCAUUUCUGACAUAAAGAACAUCUGUUAAAGUUAGAAUUGAUCUACAGUUGAUCAUUACAGUUGCCUGGAUUACAAGUGAUAGUUUCAGUGUAUUGAUAGGUCAGAAAGCAUUUCCAAAAUCUGUUACUAGAAAGCACUAGUUGUUCACUGUCUAAAUGUUUGUCACUUGGGUAGACUCUGAGGCUGUAACUAUUGAUGGAAAAUUUGUCUGUUGAAGUCCCAUUCUAACUGGACUGUUUAUUAUUUCCUGAUGAUUUUUAUUGUGUGUUUCUUAAAAUGUCUCAUCUACUCUGGUUCCUGAGGACUCUCUUGAUUAAUUAAUGCUUAUUUAUCUCUCUGAAAAAUAGGCAUGAAUUUUCAUCUAUAUACAUAAACUGAAUCACAAUCUACUUUAGAAAUUAUAGGGUAAAUCUGUGCUAGACUUUCAAAAUAAGUGAAUUUGUAUCUGGACUCUGCUAAAUAACACAACAACUUCUGUAAAAAAAUACAUGCUUUUAAAUCCUUCAGUUUGGUAGACUAUUAGGCACAGCUCUUCACAUUCACUUUUUUUUCUCAUUUAAAGCAAUUUGUUUUAUGCAGCUGUUGGGAAAAGAAAAUUAAUAUUCUACAGAUUAUUCGAAUAAGUAAGUUUAAGCUGUGUUUAAUCCUUUCAAGAUAUAAAGUGUGGGGAGGCCAGGCGCAGUGGCUCACACCUGUAAUCCCAGCACUUUGGGAGGCCAAGGCAGGGGGAUCACUUGAGGUCAGGAGUUUGAGACCAGCCUGGCCAAUAGGGCGAAACCCAGUCUCUACUAAAAAUACACCAUUUAGCCAGGCACGGUGGUGGGCACCUGUAGUUCCAGGUACUCAGGAGACUGAGGCAGGAGAAUCGCUUGAACCUGGGAGGCAGAGGUUGCAGGGAGCCGAGAUCACACCACUGCACUCCAGCCUGGGCAACAGAGCAAGACUCUGUCUAAAAUAAAUAAAUAA